rnacentral:rRNA from 1 species
UGGGGAAUUUUGGACAAUGGGGGCAACCCUGAUCCAGCCAUCCCGCGUGUGCGAUGAAGGCCUUCGGGUUGUAAAGCACUUUUGGCAGGGAAGAAACAGCCUGGGCUAAUAUCCCGGGCGACUGACGGUACCUGCAGAAUAAGCACCGGCUAACUACGUGCCAGCAGCCGCGGUAAUACGUAGGGUGCAAGCGUUAAUCGGAAUUACUGGGCGUAAAGCGUGCGCAGGCGGUUCGGAAAGAAAGGUGUGAAAUCCCAGGGCUUAACCUUGGAACUGCACUUUUAACUACCGGGCUAGAGUACGUCAGAGGGGGGUAGAAUUCCACGUGUAGCAGUGAAAUGCGUAGAGAUGUGGAGGAAUACCGAUGGCGAAGGCAGCCCCCUGGGAUGAUACUGACGCUCAUGCGCGAAAGCGUGGGGAGCAAACA